rnacentral:rRNA from 1 species
GACGAACGCUGGCGGCGUGCUUAACACAUGCAAGUCGAACGGAAAGGCCCUGCUUUUGUGGGGUGCUCGAGUGGCGAACGGGUGAGUAACACGUGAGUAACCUGCCCUUGACUUUGGGAUAACUUCAGGAAACUGGGGCUAAUACCGGAUAGGAUCUCCUGCUGCAUGGUGUGGGUUGGAAAGUUUCGGCGGUGGUGGAUGGACUCGCGGCUUAUCAGCUUGUUGGUGGGGUAGUGGCUUACCAAGGCUUUGACGGGUAGCCGGCCUGAGAGGGGGAACGGCGACCUUGGGACUGAGGGAGGGCGCAGAAGCCUACGGGCGGCAGCAGUCGGGAAUAUUGCACAGUGGGCGCACGCGUGAGGCGACAACGCCGCGUGCGGGAUAACGGCUUUCGGGUUGUAAACAGCUGUCGCCUGUGACGAAGCGUGAGUGACGGUAAUGGAUAAAGAAGCAACGGCUAACUACGUG